rnacentral:lncRNA from 1 species
GAAGUAGAUCCUCUAGUGACUUGGUGGUCCAAGAUCUAUCCAGCGAAUAAUCAAUAUGGGACAAAAUACGCGCGCAUACGAGUUCUCACAUGAUGCAACUUCUAUUGGCAUCUGGUUCGAAGCUGAAAGGCAUUCCCGAACUGUUCCCUUCAAUAAAAAAGAAAAGCAUGGAACCAGCAAGAUGAGAAAUUUCCUACUGCCCUGGUGCUCGAUCCAUAGAUAACUAUAUCCUAUGCUAUCUUCUCGGUCAGCUUUUCGUUCCAUUGCUUUAUUCCUAUUCUGGAUCCUUCGCCCU